UUGACCAAGACGGAGUAGGGCAUUAGUAACGCGACGGACGGCGGCCAGCGGGGAACAAACACAGGACUCGGCCAGCGAAAGGCAGCACCGGAGCAGAAGAUGAAGGAGACGAGGAGAACACUGGAAUGCUGUCUGCCCACUCCGCCCGCCGCCAGAGUGCUGCAGACUAACAUGGUGCCGAAGACAACUUGGAGACCGUCGAAGAAGUUGUCCCCGAUGAUGAUGACCGUGGAUCCUCCUGAUGUCCACCCCUCGCUCGGACUGAUUGCCUUGAUGCACGGUGUCGCUACGGGAAGGGGAGGGUACAAGCCUAUGUGAGACAGGGGUGUACGAGACAUCAGAGCGGCGUUCUCAGGAUCAUCGAGAGCUUCCCGCUGGUUCAAGUCACCACUGUGUCUGAGGCUAAGCUA